GUCAACAAAAGAGAUAUAUAUCAUAUCAACAAAUGGCAAUCUUCCUUGUGUUUUUGAUUUUUGCUUCAGGUAUGAUAAACUUUCCUCAAGGAACAUAUGCCGAUUGUCAAUGUCAUAAAUUGAGAGAUUGUCCCCAACUUAAAUGCCCUACAUUUGCUUUUCCUGUGUGUAUGUUGUGCCAAUGUACAUGUUUUGGUCGGGAAGCAUGGAGAAAGCAGAUGACUCUUGGUACCAAUAAAGCAACUAACGCUGAUGUUGGCAAAACUCAACAACAUCUACAAGUCAAAUCCUAGUAGGCAUGUUAAGUUUUGUGAAUUGAUCUGUUGCAAACAUAAGAUUAAAUAAAAAUUUAUGUUUUCAUCUAUCAGCAGA